rnacentral:rRNA from 1 species
AGUGGCGAACGGGUGAGUAAUGUAUCGGAACGUACCCUGUAGCGGGGGAUAACGCGUCGAAAGAUGUGCUAAUACCGCAUACGCUCUACGGAGGAAAGCGGAGGACCGCAAGGCUUCGCACUACAGGAGCGGCCGAUAUCGGAUUAGCUAGUUGGCGGGGUAACGGCCCACCAAGGCGACGAUCCGUAGCUGGUCUGAGAGGACGAUCAGCCACACUGGAACUGACACACGGUCCAGACUCCUACGGGAGGCAGCAGUGGGGAAUUUUGGACAAUGGGCGCAAGCCUGAUCCAGCCAUGCCGCGUGAGUGAAGAAGGCCUUCGGGUUGUAAAGCUCUUUCGGCGGGGACGAAACGGUUCGUGCUAACACCACGGACUACUGACGGUACCCGAAGAAGAAGCACCGGCUAACUACGUGCCAGCAGCCGCGGUAAUACGUAGGGUGCAGGCGUUAAUCGGAAUUACUGGGCGUAAAGCGUGCGCAGGCGG